rnacentral:rRNA from 1 species
CGGACGGGUGAGUAACGCGUGAGAAUCUAACUUCAGGACGGGGACAACAGUUGGAAACGACUGCUAAUACCCGAUGUGCCGCAAGGUGAAACCUAAUUGGCCUGGAGAAGAGCUUGCGUCUGAUUAGCUAGUUGGUGGGGUAAGAGCCUACCAAGGCGACGAUCAGUAGCUGGUCUGAGAGGAUGAGCAGCCACACUGGGACUGAGACACGGCCCAGACUCCUACGGGAGGCAGCAGUGGGGAAUUUUCCGCAAUGGGCGAAAGCCUGACGGAGCAACGCCGCGUGAGGGAGGAAGGUCUUUGGAUUGUAAACCUCUUUUCUCAAGGAAGAAGUUCUGACGGUACUUGAGGAAUCAGCCUCGGCUAACUCCGUGCCAGCAGCCGCGGUAAUACGGGGGAGGCAAGCGUUAUCCGGAAUUAUUGGGCGUAAAGCGUCCGCAGGUGGUCAGCCAAGUCUGCCGUCAAAUCAGGUUGCUUAACGACCUACAGGAGGAGGAAACUGGCAGACUACAGAGCAGUAUGGGUAGCACGAAUUCCCAGUGUAGCGGCGAAAUGCGUACAGAUUGGGAAGAACAUCUGUGGCGAAAGCGUGCUACUGAGCUGUAUCUGACACUCAUGGACGACAGCUAGGGGAGCGAAAGGGAUUAGAUACCCCUGUAGUC